rnacentral:rRNA from 1 species
GACGUAGGGCGCGAGCGUUGUCCGGAUUUAUUGGGCGUAAAGAGCUCGUAGGCGGCUUGUCGCGUCAACUGUGAAAACCCGUGGCUCAACCAUGUGGUCUGCAGUCGAUACGGGCAGGCUAGAAUUCGGUAGGGGAGACUGGAAUUCCUGGUGUAGCGGUGAAAUGCGCAGAUAUCAGGAGGAACACGGUGGCGAAGGCGGAUCUCUGGGCCGAUAUUGACGCUGAGGAGCGAAAGCGUGGGGAGCAAACAGG